rnacentral:rRNA from 1 species
GUGCCAGCCGCCGCGGUAAUACGGAGGGUGCAAGCGUUAUCCGGAAUCACUGGGUUUAAAGGGUGCGUAGGCGGCUUGAUAAGUCAGAGGUGAAAGCCUUCCGCUUAACGGAAGAACUGCCUUUGAUACUGUUAAGCUUGAAAGAGGUUGAGGUUAGCGGAACGUGACAUGUAGCGGUGAAAUGCAUAGAUAUGUCACAGAACACCAAUUGCGAAGGCAGCUGACUGGACCUACUUUGACGCUGAGGCACGAAAGCGUGGGGAGCGAACAGGAUUAGAUACCCCUGUAGUCC